AUGGCUUCUUAUGACCAACAAUUCAAGGUUCUCGAGGUACCUCCGAUCGUGCAAGAGCUGGUGGGCGCCGGCGUGCAGGAGCCACCGAGCCAGUACGUGCAUCCUGAGCAAGACCGUCCCACUGCUGUGAUCUCCGAGAUGCCCGAUCCCAUCCCCAUCAUCGACCUCAGCCGGCUGUCUGCCGGCAGCGCCGAAGAGUUCGACAAGCUGCGGUCCGCCUUGAAGAACUUGGACCUCUCCCUGGCUGUUGGACAUGGAAUGGAGCCUAGCUUUCUUGCCGAGGCGAUGAAGGCCACAAGAGAGUUCUUCAACCUCCCACUAGAAGAGAAACAAAAGUACUCGAACAUUGUCGACGGCGUGAAGCUAGGCAUGUAUGGAUACGGUAACGACAUGGUCGUGAAAGAGAAUCAGGUCCUUGACUGGAACGAUCGGCUCAAUCUUCUAGUGGAACCCGAAUCCCUAAGAACCUACAGACUGUGGCCAACACAGUCCCCCUUCUUUCAGAGACAUUCUGUCUGA
rnacentral:rRNA from 1 species